GACGAACGCUGGCGGCGUGCUUAACACAUGCAAGUCGAACGGAAAGGCCUGCUUUCCCUUGUGGAUUGCGGGUACUCGAGUGGCGAACGGGUGAGUAACACGUGAGUGAUCUGCCCCCAACUUGGGUAUAAGCCUGGGAAACUGGGUCUAAUUCCCGAUAGGACUGCAGGGUGGUGCCUGUGGUGGAAAACGAUUUUCUAGUGGUUGGGGAUGAGCUCGCGGCCUAUCAGCUUGUUGGUGGGGUAAUGGCCUACCAAGGCGGCGACGGGUAGCCGGCCUGGGGGGGUGGACGGCCACAUUGGGACUGAGAUACGGCCCAGACUCCUACGGGAGGCAGCAGUGGGGAAUAUUGCACAAUGGGCGGAAGCCUGAUGCAGCGACGCCGCGUGGGGGAUGACGGCCUUCGGGUUGUAAACUCCUUUCGACCGCGAGGAAGCCACCUGGUUGGAAGGGUGGUGACGGUAGUGGUAGAAGAAGCACCGGCUAACUACGUG
rnacentral:rRNA from 1 species